UUAGGCGUGUGACUGCGUACCUUUUGUAUAAUGGGUCAGCGACUUAUAUUCUGUAGCAAGGUUAACCGAAUAGGGGAGCCGAAGGGAAACCGAGUCUUAACUGGGCGUUAAGUUGCAGGGUAUAGACCCGAAACCCGGUGAUCUAGCCAUGGGCAGGUUGAAGGUUGGGUAACACUAACUGGAGGACCGAACCGACUAAUGUUGAAAAAUUAGCGGAUGACUUGUGGCUGGGGGUGAAAGGCCAAUCAAACCGGGAGAUAGCUGGUUCUCCCCGAAAGCUAUUUAGGUAGCGCCUCGUGAAUUCAUCUCCGGGGGUAGAGCACUGUUUCGGCAAGGGGGUCAUCCCGACUUACCAACCCGAUGCAAACUGCGAAUACCGGAGAAUGUUAUCACGGGAGACACACGGCGGGUGCUAACGUCCGUCGUGAAGAGGGAAACAACCCAGACCGCCAGCUAAGGUCCCAAAGUCAUGGUUAAGUGGGAAACGAUGUGGGAAGGCCCAGACAGCCAGGAUGUUGGCUUAGAAGCAGCCAUCAUUUAAAGAAAGCGUAAUAGCUCACUGGUCGAGUCGGCCUGCGCGGAAGAUGUAACGGGGCUAAACCAUGCACCGAAGCUGCGGCAGCGACGCUUAUGCGUUGUUGGGUAGGGGAGCGUUCUGUAAGCCUGCGAAGGUGUGCUGUGAGG
rnacentral:rRNA from 1 species